GCACAAAACGUUGACUCUCGAGUCUAGCUGUUCACUAGAUGUUUCAGGGAAUUAAAGUAUACAUUCCUGUUGCAGGCCAGGAACUCUCCAUGACUUUCAUAGCCAUGAAAUUGCCGAACAACUUACUCUCCUGAAUGCAGAACUUUUCUACAAGAUUGAGAUCCCCGAGGUUUUGCUGUGGGCAAAAGAGCAAAACGAGAAGAGCCCGAAUCUGACACAGUUCACAGAGCACUUUAACAACAUGUCCUACUGGGUCCAAUCUAUCAUCAUGCUUCAGGAGAAGGCACAGGACCGGGAGAGGUUGC